ensembl:lncRNA
CUCAAGCAGUUGCCUAUAUUGUAGGGGUGUGAUUACAGUUCCUUUCUCAGCCAGGAGCGUAGUAGGACAGUUCCGAGCCCAGGCAGGCAACUCUGCUCGCUGCACGCUUUGCUGGAUGGAUGAGACCUGGCACUUCCAAUUAGGGCACUCACACAAAGCAUGGCUGGCUGUGGCAUUGCCAUGCAGCCCAGCUCCUAGGGCAGCUAGCUCCGACAGCGCUGUUUGCCUGGGAUGGCAACUUCAAGUUAGCGAGAGCUUCAGGAGAAAACCACUGUACCUUCUGAGACCAUGUUACCAUGAAGAGAGAUCUACAAGCAGCAAAGAUCUGACCCUCAAGAGUCAGACAACCACACUUAGAGGGCACGUGAUCUGGCAUUUAUGCUGACUGUGUGCCAG